rnacentral:rRNA from 1 species
GGUUACACUUAUAAUGCAAUAAAAAGUAUUCGGUAAUUAAUUAGUGAAAAUUUUAUGAAUAAGUUUUUAGUUUUAUUGGGUGAAAUUUUUAAAAUUGAAAAUUAUUUUUAUAGAUUUUACGAGGUUAAUAAGUUUGGUUUAUAAAACUAGGAUUAGAUACCCUAUUAUUCUGGAUUUAAUCUUUGUUACUUGGUUAGUAGUAGUUAUGAUCUUGAAAAUUAAAGAAGUUGGCGGUAUUUUAGUCUAUUCAGAGGAACCUGUCCUAUAAUCGAUGAUCCACGAUUUAUAAUACUUACUUCUUUAGUUUGCAUAUCGCCGUAGGUUGAAUUUUUUUAAAAAAAUGGAAUGUUCAAUAAUUUUUAUGAGAAAAGAAUUCAGGUCAAGAUGUAGCUUAUAAGUGAGAAGAGAUGGGUUACAAUAAAUAUAUUUAGCCGGAUUGAUAAAUGAAAUUUUAUUGUAAAGAUGGAUUUGAAGGUAAUUUUAUUUAACUAGAUAAGAUGAUUCUAGCUCUAAAAUAUGUACAU